rnacentral:rRNA from 1 species
GAUGAACGCUAGCUACAGGCUUAACACAUGCAAGUCGCGGGGCAGCAUGGGGGUUGCUUGCAAUCCCCGAUGGCGACCGGCGCACGGGUGAGUAACGCGUAUCCAACCUGCCCUUCACCACGGGAUAACCCGGCGAAAGUCGGACUAAUACCGUAUGUUGUCCAUUGACGGCAUCCGAUUUGGACGAAAGGUUUGGCGGUGAAGGAUGGGGAUGCGUCCGAUUAGCUGGACGGCGGGGUGACGGCCCACCGUGGCGACGAUCGGUAGGGGUUCUGAGAGGAAGGUCCCCCACACUGGAACUGAGACACGGUCCAGACUCCUACGGGAGGCAGCAGUGAGGAAUAUUGAUCAAUGGGCGUAAGCCUGAACCAGCCAAGUAGCGUGCAGGAGGACGGCCCUAUGGGUUGUAAACUGCUUUUAUGCGGGGAUAAAGUGGCCCACGUGUGGGUUUUUGCAGGUACCGCAUGAAUAAGGACCGGCUAAUUCCGUG